AAGUCGAGCGAACGGACGAGAAGCUUGCUUCUCUGAUGUUAGCGGCGGACGGGUGAGUAACACGUGGAUAACCUACCUAUAAGACUGGGAUAACUUCGGGAAACCGGAGCUAAUACCGGAUAAUAUUUUGAACCGCAUGGUUCAAAAGUGAAAGACGGUCUUGCUGUCACUUAUAGAUGGAUCCGCGCUGCAUUAGCUAGUUGGUAAGGUAACGGCUUACCAAGGCAACGAUGCAUAGCCGACCUGAGAGGGUGAUCGGCCACACUGGAACUGAGACACGGUCCAGACUCCUACGGGAGGCAGCAGUAGGGAAUCUUCCGCAAUGGGCGAAAGCCUGACGGAGCAACGCCGCGUGAGUGAUGAAGGUCUUCGGAUCGUAAAACUCUGUUAUUAGGGAAGAACAUAUGUGUAAGUAACUGUGCACAUCUUGACGGUAC
rnacentral:rRNA from 1 species